AUUGAACGCUGGCGGCAUGCCUUACACAUGCAAGUCGAACGGCAGCACGGGUGCUUGCACCUGGUGGCGAGUGGCGAACGGGUGAGUAAUACAUCGGAACAUGUCCUGUAGUGGGGGAUAGCCCUGCGAAAGCCGGAUUAAUACCGCAUACGAUCUACGGAUGAAAGCGUGGGACCUUCGGGCCUCGCGCUAUAGGGUUGGCCGAUGGCUGAUUAGCUAGUUGGUGGGGUAAAGUCCUACCAAGGCGACGAUCAGUACCUGGUCUGAGAGGACGACCAGCCACACUGGAACUGAGACACGGCCCAGACUCCUACGGGAGGCAGCAGUGGGGAAUUUUGGACAAUGGGCGAAAGCCUGAUCCAGCAAUGCCGCGUGUGUGAAGAAGGCCUUCGGGUUGUAAAGCACUUUUGUCCGGAAAGAAAUCCUUGGCCCUAAUACGGUCGGGGGAUGACGGUACCGGAAGAAUAAGCACCGGCUAACUACGUG
rnacentral:rRNA from 1 species